UUUUUGAGCUUUGCUGUGGAUGUGCCUCCUUCAGCCUUGCCUGUGUCUGGCCACAGACCUUCUUGCCUGAUGGUUUUCCUUCCAUGCUUCCACCUGUGGUGACACCACGUCCCUUGGAGCUGGGAUUUCACCUGCUGGCAUUGCUGGGGACCUGAGUUGGGAAAGGCGACGGAGCCCAGCUGAAGCUGGCACCGCAGCGUGGUCUCCCCUUGUGCUGGAGGAGAGGGGAGGGAGAUGCUGGCGGGCUCCUUGCCCAGGGACAAAACCCUUCUGGCUCCCCCAUCCUGGGGUGGAAGCGGAGCGUGAUGCCUGCCCUUGCUGCGGGAGGAGGAGGUGCUGGUGGUGUCCCCCCCUGCAUUUCUUUGUUCUUUUGUUGCGGGGACCUCCCUGAUCCCAGCAGGUGAGGAUGUCCCGUGGUGUCCCUGUGCCAUGGGGCCAUCACCCCUGCAUCCGACCCAGCUCCUUCGGAGAGCAGGGUAAGCACAGGAGCACGUCCCUCCCUGCUGCUCCCUGCGAUCCGAGGGCUGCUGCUGCUUAUCUGGCUCGAGGGCAAUGCUCCACAUGGCUUUCAGAAGCCUGUGACCCCCCCCCCCCCUCUUUCAAUCCCUUCACCGCCUCCUGCCUCCCCCUCGCCCCAACCCCUUCUCUUUUUCACCCCACCUUCCCCCAGGGGCAUCCAGCCAGUGCAAGCGGUCCCCUGGCAGCAAUGAUGAAGAUGGAUGUCUGAUUGAUUCUCUCUCCUCUGUGCAACCCCCCUCUGCAGCCCCCCCCCUCUUUUUCCCCUCGUCCCCCCCCCUUUUCCAUGCCCUUCUGGCAGAAAAUUAAAAGGCUAUUUGUUAAAGGGUGAAAGCCCUCAGGUGCAGCCCCCGGCUGGACAAUUUGUCUCCAUGAAAA